rnacentral:rRNA from 1 species
UACGUAGGGUGCAAGCGUUGUCCGGAAUUAUUGGGCGUAAAGAGCUUGUAGGCGGUUUGUCGCGUCUGCUGUGAAAUUUCGGGGCUCAACCCCGAACUUGCAGUGGGUACGGGCAGACUAGAGUGUGGUAGGGGAGGACUGGAAUUCCUGGUGUAGCGGUGAAAUGCGCCAGAUAUCAGGAGGAACACCGAUGGCGAAGGCAGGUCUCUGGGCCAUAACUGACGCUGAGAAGCGAAAGCAUGGGGAGC